rnacentral:tRNA from 1 species
AUGUAGCUCAGUGGUAGAGCGCAUGCUUUGCAUGUGUGAUGCCCUGGGUUUGAUCUCAGCAU